AUGAGGUACUAGAAGUGCAGAAUGAGAUGAAGGACGAGCGACUCGCUGAUGCUGAGGGUCCUUCAAGUAAAUCUUCAAUACAAUAAAUUUGCUUCGAACGAGCUCCUCAUAACGGUGGAUGAGGAGUCGUUCGACGUGGGCUUGGGCCAAGAGCUUCGACUUGCGGCUGGCGGACUUAAUUCAGCGAAGUUCUGCUCAUACUAUAUGAAGUUAGAGGGCAGGCACAGAGGCCUUGGUGGAAGUGUCUACCGAACGGGAGAAAUAGGUCACAGAUUUCUGCUACAUGGCGCACAAUAUUGAAGCUCCACCGACCGAGUUGAGGACCCUGGUUGAAGACUUUAAGCGCAGACGACAACAAAUA